AUUGAACGCUGGCGGCAUGCUUUACACAUGCAAGUCGAACGGCAGCGCGGGCUUCGGCCUGGCGGCGCGUGGCGAACGGGUGAGUAAUGCAUCGGAACGUGCCCAGUCGUGGGGGAUAGCCCGGCGAAAGCCGGAUUAAUACCGCAUACGACCUGAGGGUGAAAGCGGGGGACCGAAAGGCCUCGCGCUAUUGGAGCGGCCGAUGUCGGAUUAGCUAGUUGGUGGGGUAAAGGCUUACCAAGGCGACGAUCCGUAGCUGGUCUGAGAGGACGACCAGCCACACUGGGACUGAGACACGGCCCAGACUCCUACGGGAGGCAGCAGUGGGGAAUUUUGGACAAUGGGGGCAACCCUGAUCCAGCCAUGCCGCGUGCGGGAAGAAGGCCUUCGGGUUGUAAACCGCUUUUGUUCGGGAAGAAAUCCUCUGGGCUAAUACCCCGGGGGGAUGACGGUACCGGAAGAAUAAGCACCGGCUAACUACGUG
rnacentral:rRNA from 1 species